rnacentral:lncRNA from 1 species
UGUUUUUUCCUCAAAGCUGAUUGGUUCUCUUGUAUGAGCCCGCAUUUAUUGAGAUAGAUGGCUACCCAACGGCACCGAUCACAACCUUUAAUUCUCAUUUAAUCUAUCAUCUGGAAGAUUAUUCUGCUACCACGAUUCUUCUAAUUUCUUAAAUCGCCAAAAUUUUGGGAGGAUUCAAGUUGAAUUUGUGUUCUUGUAAUUUUCAGCUAGGGAAGGGUGAUGAUUGUGAUUGCCCAUUUGAAGCUAGUUCAGUUUCAUUUAGCGUCUAAAGAUGUUUCUUCGCCGCCGUACAAAUCUCGUUAUAGUUCUUACGAUCUUGAUGGCGUGCACAGCAAGAGCGCAAAACGUCACCUGCAAUAGGCAAUGCGGGAAGCAGAGUCUUCAGUUCCCUUUCGGGUUCUCCGAGGGUUGUGAAAUCAGACUAAACUGUUUCGACAACCAAGUCCAAAUUUACGAAUUUCUGGUCCAAAACGUUACCGACAGCAACAUAUUCGUCAACCUCCCUGGAAAAUGCAACCGCAGAAUGGAAUCCAUUGAGCCACUUUUCCAAAGCAAUUUUGCUCCCUCGGUUAACAACAGCUUUUUGGUGCAAAAUUGCAGCGAGCAGUUUGGUGGGUGCGUUAUUCCUGCUUCGAAUUUUGGGGAAAGCUGCGAUAAGAAAAGUGGUAAUAUCAGUUGCUUUUCGAAACAAGAUGGGGCGGAUGUUGUGAAAUACACAGAUUUGAAUGGAACUAAGUGUAAGUACUUGUUCUCUGCGGUUUCUUUUGGGCAGAGCCAUGAGACUGUGCUGCAGUUUCAGAUGGUCGAGUUGGGGUGGUGGCUUCAUGGAC